GACGAACGCUGGCGGCGUGCUUAACACAUGCAAGUCGAACGGUGAAGGGACCGGUUUUUGCUGGUUCUGGAUGAGUGGCGAACGGGUGUGUAACACGUGAGUAACCUGCCCCCUUCUUCUGGAUAACCGCAUGACAGUGUGGCUAAUACGGGAUAUUCUGCGCCUGCUGCAUGGUGGGUGUGGGAACGAUCUUGUUUCGGUGGGGGGUGGGCUCGCGGCCUAUCAGCUUGGUGGUGGGGUGAUGGCCUACCCAGGCGGUGACGGGUAGCCGGCCUGAGAGGGUGGACGGUCACACAGGGGAGGCGAGACGGAGCAGACUCCUACGGGAGGCAGCAGGGGGGAAUACUGCACGAUGGGCGCAAGGAUGAUGCAGCGACGCGGCGGGAGUGAUGGAGUCCGUCGGGUUGUAAACUUCUUUCGCGAGUGAAGCAGGCCUGUCGCUUUUGUGGGUGGGUUGACGGUAGCUGGAUAAGAAGCGCCGGCUAACUACGUG
rnacentral:rRNA from 1 species